rnacentral:misc_RNA from 1 species
CGCCUUUAAAAAUUAAGCAAAAAGAUAUUACAAUAUUCGCUAAGAAAUACAAAAAUAAAACAAAAUAUGCAAAAAUAUAUAUUACGUUAUAGAAUUUUGCAAAUCCUAUCCUACCCUCAGAAUUUCAAACAAACGCAAGCAUGACAGCUUAACAAAAUCAAUAUCAGGUAACUCCCGCAUAUACUGAGUGGAGAGAUAAUGCCUCACACAAUUUAAAGAAGCGUAAGUUGGAGUUU